rnacentral:lncRNA from 1 species
UUCCAAUACAUUAAAGAAAAGGUAUAUACAUUAUUUUUCAUGUUUAUAUAUGAGAUACCUAGGGGUUGGAUACUCAGUAGGAAUGCAAAACCAAGAUAUAUCUUUUACACAUUUUCUACAGGUAGAAAAUGCAGGUACUUUCUGCAAAAGUGCCCAGGAUUACCACUAGGCUACAAGACCUGAGCUCUGUCACUGCCUCACCUGGCUUCCGUUUCCCUGCCCCUAAGAGGCUGGGCUGCCAAUGUACCUGUGCUCACAUCCAGCUCCCUGAAGCAGCCAGUGGAACAUGCAUCGACUCGCACAUAAUCAAUAUACAGCCCUUCUUCUCGUUCCUUCACCAGCAGAAGAGCUGUUUCAAAGGUCUCAUGCUUGCAGCCUACACAAGGAGAGCCAAGGAUGAACUGUGGAUAUGUGUACAGACAUGCACAGGAUCUGUUUAAGGAGGUAUUUACCAAAGCUGCAAUCACACCAGGAAGCACUGAUCCUUCUGUCCAGCCGGUUUUGCCAGAGAGAGGCAGAUUGGCUUCAGCACCCCUUCAGUUCAGCUUAACCAAAAUCAAACAGGGAGCUGUUGGGACAGGGCAACACUGAAGCCUCUCCCAUCUUCUUCAGAUGGAGGGCUAGCAAGUGUGAGUGGGGAGCCCCUGUGGAAGAGAAAGUCCAGACUCAGCCCCAUCAAAAGAGAGGAAGGGUUUAUAGUACCAUAUCUCCGUGUGAGGAUUUCCCUUCGUAUUUAAUAUUCAGUAUUUGCUAUUUAAUAUUUUCACAUUUAGUAUUUUCUUACUUCAUAUUUCAUAUUUCGUACUUCAUAUUUCAUAUUUCUCUUCAGUGUUUGGACUCUUGUGUGAAAAAGGGGACGUGCGGAGGGCCAUAGCAUUUCCAGUGCAGGAUAAUAUUCAGGCAUGAGCAAAGCAUAUUUCCCUUUGUGCAUGCCAUCAGGGAAAUCAGAUCCGGGAUUAUUCCUCAGCAUCGCACGAUUACUGUUCGACUUGGUGUCUUCCGAGUCGGCCGCGCGCAGUAACUUUGGGGAAGGGAUGCCCGGGGAGAGGUCAGGCGCGGAGCGGCGGGUCGCGCAGGUAUCGCCCCACCGCUCCGUGCGCGCCCCCCGCCGCCACGUGGAGGGGCAGGCGGCCGCGGCCGUCGGGCA